rnacentral:rRNA from 1 species
CUACGGAGGGUGCAAGCGUUACUCGGAAUCACUGGGCGUAAAGCGCGCGCAGGCGGUCUUUUAAGUUGGAUGUGAAAGCCUACGGCUCAACCGUAGAACUGCAUCCAAAACUAUUAGACUAGAGUGUGGGAGAGGAAGAUGGAAUUAGUUGUGUAGGGGUAAAAUCCGUAGAGAUAACUAGGAAUACCAAAAGCGAAGGCAAUCUUCUGGAACACUACUGACGCUGAGGCGCGAAGGCGUGGGGAGCAAACAGGAUUAGAAACCCUAGUAGUCC